GAUGAACGCUGGCGGCGUGCUUAACACAUGCAAGUCGAACGGGAAACCUUUUAUUGAAUCUUCGGCAGGUUUAGCUGGUUUCUAGUGGCGGACGGGUUAGUAACGCGUGGGUAACCUGCCUUAUACAGGGGGAUAACAGUCAGAAAUGGCUGCUAAUACCGCAUCAGCGCACAGGGCUGCAUGUCUCAGUGUGAAAAACUGCGGUGGUAGCAUAUGGACCCGCGUUGGUGUAGCUGGUUGGUGGGGUAACGGCCCACCACGGCGACGAUCCAUACCCGGCCUGAGAGGGGGAAAGGCCACAUUGGGACUAGGACACGGACCAGACUCCUACGGGACGCAGCAGUGGGGAACAUUGCACAAUGGGGGAAGACCUGAUGAAGCGACGCCGCGUGAAGGAAGAAGUAUCUCGGUAUGUAAACUUCUAUCAGCAGGGAAGAUAAUGACGGUACCUGACUAAGAAGCCCCGGCUAACUACGUG
rnacentral:rRNA from 1 species